rnacentral:rRNA from 1 species
GACGAACCGUGCGAACGUUGUUCGGAUUCACUGGGCUUAAAGGGCGCGUAGGCGGACAAUCAAGUCAGGGGUGAAAGCCUCCAGCUCAACUGGAGAAGUGCCUUUGAUACUGACUGUCUCGAGGGAGGUAGGGGCAUGUGGAACUUCCGGUGGAGCGGUGAAAUGCGUAGAUAUCGGAAGGAACGCCAACGGAGAAAUCAGGUAGCUGGGGGUGUGCUGACGCUGAGACACGAAAGCCAGGGGAGCGAACGGG